ACCAUGUGCAGAUUAUCUGAAUAUCGUCAACACGAGCCCUGCGUCAGCGCUGUCGGUUUCCUCGUGCGCUCAGACGAAUUGGAUACUGACGAGUUUCCUAAUUGUUGUAGGUACACAAAGCGACAUGAUUGAUGGCGUUCAGGCACUGCGUCGCAUGUGUUUUAAUAACGUGAAAAGCCUUCAUAAAUAUGUUUACUUCAUCAAUUAUAAUAUUAUACUAUACAUGAGGCCCUUACUCCACCAACAUCUUUGAACACCACUGUCCCGUCUGCGUACGGUUUACCCGAGUAAGAGAUGAAGUUGUAUCUUAAACUGAAUAAUCCUAUAUGAUUCAAGGGACACCAAGUACGCAUUAGGAAUUAUUUAUAAUAUUAUAAAAAAUCUUUUUUGCUUUAUAGCGAGUAAGUUAAAACUAAUCAUAUUUUGAAAUAACUCUACGUUCAUUUGAUGUAUUGUUUCUGAACAAAUAUUAUUCAGAUGUUAUUGUGAGACAAAGCUCCUCGCAAUGAUAUUCGUCGCAGUGGGUAAUCCCAGUGUACCGGUAGAUGAUUGUUUGUUAUGUAUUUAUGUAAUUGUCAUUGUUAAUGUCGCGGUUGUUGUGGUAUAAUUAACCGUGUUUGUUGUGCAGAACUCGGGGGCCAUAUAUUAUGACAUCGCAUAUCAGUGACUAUCUUCUUCAUCGGUUUGUUGUUGAAGGCGGGAAUCGUAAUACACGGUAACUAUGAGCGGAUUUAGCAACACAGCUGGAACGUGGAACACUAUCCCAACCAACACAAGAUAGAUGUAAGAUGCCGCUUGUGCAUUAACGACUCCUCGAGUUCCUUCCCAACCGAUACAAUGAGAUAUAUUCAACAUAUUAUUAUAACCAAAUGAUGCUACAGGCAACACAUUGUUAUUAAUUUGUAGCAAUACUAGGCAUUUUGAGAUGUAAUAACAAUAUAUUUUAAUGAUACAGGAAUAUGAACGAAUUACUGUAUUAACUUCAAUUCCUGAUUGUAUUAAUGGUUAGGGCGUGAUACUCACCAGCGGAGGUACCAACCUGUGUCGUUAAUUUGUAUACAAAUAUCCUUAACAAAUAAACAGUUAUGAUUUAUUAUCGCCGUGACUAAAAUGAAUAAGCAGACAUCUAGUAAAAUAUUCCAAAAAACAUAUUUCGUGUCUUAACCGGUUUCAUACCAAAUACUUCAUGAAUUAAUAGCCAAAACAAUAUUUGAGGUCUACUUUAAGUAAUUAAAAAGGUUGAGUACGUAAAUAAAGUUAUGUCAUCCUUAAUGUUAAUGUCGAUGUUUCAUUAAGUAUAAUAUAAGUUCUGGACUUACUACCGGAUGAUCCAUAUAAUCGCUGCAAUUUGUAUACAGGCAGUAAGCAAAAUACUCGCGCUUGUCACAACUGAAUUACUAUAUCAUUGCAUGAGUACAAAGUUGUGUCUCCAGUGUCUAAACCCCUAUUCAGUUGUGCUUGAGCCCAGAUCUAACGUCAUACUUUUACUUAAUAGACAGCAGCUGAAGUAGAGAUAAGAUGAUACGUGUAGUACUAAAUCGGUUGCGGUUCUAUCACUUUGGCGAUGCAGCGGUCACGCCGCUGGGCUGCGCAAUGUUCCUGUCGCUGGUGCGAUAACCGCGAUCGCCAUUUUGGACAGUCUCUAACAGAAUCGAUUCCGAUGAGGAUACAUUGGUUUAUUACUUUCAAUACUAUAUAAAAACAAUACGCAGAAAACGAAAGCUGAAGCAGUAACACCACUUGUUUCGGUUAUAAGAGAGCGACCAGUCACGACAUGAUAUCUUGAAAACCAAAAAAAAAAUCGAAUGCUUAAAAAUUUUGUUUUAUAUCUUGGAAUGUCAAGAUGUACCUUUUACGAAUUGUUUCAUCUAAUACAAAAUUUUAAUCCGUAAAGGAAAGGAUACAAACGAGCUUCCAAAGCGAUACUCGCUACUCGCUCGCACUGGGACCACUCUCGCAACGGUCUGAACUCGCUCGCAAUGCGCCAACAAGAUAAUGUAGCUACACUGUUCAAAGUUAUACAAGGCUACAUGACAUAAAAAAACUUUUGCUGAAUUAAAUGAAAAUGCUAAGCUAAUAACUUUAAUAAUUUACAUUUACGAUACUGUGGCACUCGAAACGAAUAUUGAUGAGUGAUAUAAUAACAAGUAACGUAUAAUAAAAUUGUUAAAAACAACACAAACCCGCCGAGCAGGAGUUGACUGACAGCACUAUUAAUAAAACAGCACGAGUCCGCGAGGACUCCCUGUGGCCACGUUAAUGUCAAUAUCAGAGCGGCAGUUCUAACAUGCGGGCGAGCUAUGUCCGUGACGUGAUGCGGCGGCGGCUACCUGAAGGCGGCGGGGUCGGGCCCCACGAGCGCCACGAGCUGCGGCACCUCCUGCGAGUGCUGCGCGAGGCGCGCCAGGGCCUUCACGGCGCGGUGCAGCUGCUCCUCGCCCGGCGCCCACUGCAGCAGCUGCAGCAGCGCCAUCGCCAGCUCCACGCACACCUCGUCGAACACCUGCACACACUACCUCACAGACACGUCUGGCACCUGGCACCUGACACGCUUGCAUCGCGGCGGCGACAACUUUGUUUCAACUUUAUAAUCAUUCCAUUAGACCAUUGAACCAGAAUUCUCUUUCUCUAGUUAUCGUUAUCAAAAUAAAAUAAGAAUUGUGAAUAAUGUUCUCAGCUACAUUUUGACAACAAUUGUCCAAAUAAGUGACGUCACUACGGGCGAUUAUAAUAAACGAUUCUGAUCAAUACCAUUGUAUGAACAGCAACAACAAUCUGCUCAGAUAAAAUUAUUUUUUUUGAAAUUCUUAUACUAUAUGUUUGUUUCAUUUGAAUUUGUUUCUUAUCGCCACUUAUGUGUAGUUGACUAUUAGUUUCAUUAAAUAAAAUCUGCCGUGAAGAUGUU